rnacentral:rRNA from 1 species
UAGGGAAUCUUCCACAAUGGACGCAAGUCUGAUGGAGCAACGCCGCGUGAGUGAAGAAGGUUUUCGGAUCGUAAAGCUCUGUUGUUGGUGAAGAAGGAUAGAGGUAGUAACUGGCCUUUAUUUGACGGUAAUCAACCAGAAAGUCACGGCUAACUACGUGCCAGCAGCCGCGGUAAUACGUAGGUGGCAAGCGUUGUCCGGAUUUAUUGGGCGUAAAGCGAGCGCAGGCGGAAGAAUAAGUCUGAUGUGAAAGCCCUCGGCUUAACCGAGGAACUGUAUCGGAAACUGUUUUUCUUGAGUGCAGAAGAGGAGAGUGGAAGUCCAUGUGUAGCGGUGGAAUGCGUAGAUAUAUGGAAGAACACCAGUGGCGAAGGCGACUCUCUGGUCUGCAACUGACGCUGAGGCUCGAAAGCAUGGGUAGCGAACAGG